rfam:Cicer arietinum chromosome Ca4, whole genome shotgun sequence.
AAACCACAUGAUGAAUUUGGAUUUACAAUACUCACGACGGUCGUCUGAGAUUCACUUGAUGCAUUGAUCCUAUAUUUCUGAUGGUU